rnacentral:rRNA from 1 species
GACGCUGGCGGCAGGCCUAACACAUGCAAGUCGAGCGGUAACACAAGGGAGCUUGCUCCUGAGGUGACGAGCGGCGGACGGGUGAGUAAUGCCUAGGUAUCUGCCCAGUCGAGGGGGAUAACAGUUGGAAACGACUGCUAAUACCGCAUACGCCCUACGGGGGAAAGGAGGGGACCUUCGGGCCUUCCGCGAUUGGAUGAACCUAGGUGGGAUUAGCUAGUUGGUGAGGUAAUGGCUCACCAAGGCGACGAUCCCUAGCUGGUCUGAGAGGAUGAUCAGCCACACUGGAACUGAGACACGGUCCAGACUCCUACGGGAGGCAGCAGUGGGGAAUAUUGCACAAUGGGCGAAAGCCUGAUGCAGCCAUGCCGCGUGUGUGAAGAAGGCCUUCGGGUUGUAAAGCACUUUCAGCGAGGAGGAAAGGUUAGGUCUUAAUACGGCCUAGCUGUGACGUUCCUCGCAGAAGAAGCACCGCUACUUCGUGCCACACCCGCGGUAUACGAGGGGUGCAAGCGUUAUCGAAUUCUGGCGUAAGCGG